AACGAACGCUGGCGGCAGGCUUAACGCAUGCAAGUCGAACGCCCCGCAAGGGGAGUGGCAGACGGGUGAGUAACACGUGGGAACAUGCCCAAAGGUACGGAAUAUCCUCGGGAAACUGGGAGCAAUACCGUAUGUGCCCGAAAGGGGAAAGAUUUAUCGCCUGUGGAUUGGCCCGCGUUGGAUUAGCUAGUUGGUGGGGUAAAAGCCUACCAAGGCGACGAUCCAUAGCUGGUCUGAGAGGACGACCGGCCACACUGGGACUGAGACACGGCCCAGACUCCUACGGGAGGCAGCAGUGGGGAAUCUUGGACAAUGGGCGCAAGCCUGAUCCAGCCAUGCCGCGUGAGUGAUGAAGGCCUUAGGGUUGUAAAACUCUUUCGUCGGGGUCGAUAAUGACGGUACCCGAAGAAGAAGCCCCGGCUAACUUCGUGCCAGCCGCCGCCGUAA
rnacentral:rRNA from 1 species